AUUGAACGCUGGCGGCAUGCUUUACACAUGCAAGUCGAACGGUAACAGGCCGCAAGGUGCUGACGAGUGGCGAACGGGUGAGUAAUGCAUCGGAACGUGCCCAGUCGUGGGGGGUAACUACUCGAAAGAGUAGCUAAUACCGCAUACGAUCUAUGGAUGAAAGCGGGGGACCGUAAGGCCUCGCGCGAUUGGAGCGGCCGAUGUCAGAUUAGGUAGUUGGUGGGGUAAAGGCUCACCAAGCCAACGAUCUGUAGCUGGUCUGAGAGGACGACCAGCCACACUGGGACUGAGACACGGCCCAGACUCCUACGGGAGGCAGCAGUGGGGAAUUUUGGACAAUGGGCGCAAGCCUGAUCCAGCAAUGCCGCGUGCAGGAAGAAGGCCUUCGGGUUGUAAACUGCUUUUGUACGGAAAGAAACGGCUCUGGUUAAUACCCGGGGCUAAUGACGGUACCGUAAGAAUAAGCACCGGCUAACUACGUG
rnacentral:rRNA from 1 species